rnacentral:rRNA from 1 species
GACAGAGGAUGCAAGCGUUAUCCGGAAUGAUUGGGCGUAAGCGUCUGUAGGUGGCUUUUUAAGUCCGCCGUCAAAUCCCAGGGCUCAACCCUGGACAGGCGGUGGAAACUACCAAGCUGGAGUACGGUAGGGGCAGAGGGAAUUUCCGGUGGAGCGGUGAAAUGCGUCGAGAUCGAAGAACACCAACGGCGAAAGCACUCUGCUGGGCCGACACUGACACGAGAGACGAAAGCUAGGGGAGCGAAUGGG